rnacentral:rRNA from 1 species
UCAGGAAUUUUGGGCAAUGGGGGAAACCCUGACCCAGCAACGCCGCGUGAGGGAUGAAGGCCUUCGGGUUGUAAACCUCUUUUAGUGGGGAAGAAAAAAAUGACGGUACCCACAGAAAAAGCACCGGCUAACUCUGUGCCAGCAGCCGCGGUAAUACAGAGGGUGCAAGCGUUAUUCGGAUUUACUGGGCGUAAAGAGCACGUAGGUGGUUCUUCAAGUCUGGUGUGAAAUCCCUGGACUCAAUCCAGGAAGUGCACCGGAUACUGUCGAACUGGAGUACAGGAGAGGAGAGCGGAAUUCCCGGUGUAGAGGUGAAAUUCGUAGAUAUCGGGAGGAACAACAGUGGCGAAGGCGGCUCUCUGGACUGUAACUGACACUGAGGUGCGAAAGCGUGGGGAGCAAACAGGAUUAGAUACCCGCGUAGUCC